rnacentral:misc_RNA from 1 species
AAGUCGUAACAAGGUAACCGUAGGUGAACCUGCGGUUGGAUCAUUACUGAUUUAUUUUGAAAGGUUUUGUAGGUUUUGAGCCUUUUACAUUUUGUAAAGCUCACCUCAACCUUUCAUUUUAUCACACCUUUGUGCAAACUUAUAUGUUUUUUUGGGCUGAAAGGUUAUUAAAUCUUAAGCCCAACCAACGUUUUCUAAACCUUUUUUUUUGUCUGAAUUGAUUUUUUUAUUAUUAAAAUCGUUAACAACUUUUGACAACGGAUCUCUUGGCUCUC